rnacentral:rRNA from 1 species
CGUAGGGUCCGAGCGUUGUCCGGAAUUAUUGGGCGUAAAGGGCUUGUAGGCGGUUUGUCGCGUCGGAAGUGAAACUCAGGGCUUAACCCUGAGCCUGCUUCCGAUACGGGCAAACUAGAGGAAUGCAGGGGAGAAUGGAAUUCCUGGUGGAGCGGUGGAAUGCGCAGAUAUCAGGAGGAACACCAGUGGCGAAGGCGGUUCUCUGGGCAUUUCCUGACGCUGAGAAGCGAAAGCGUGGGGAGCAAACAGGCUU